rnacentral:rRNA from 1 species
UUAGAAGCAGCCAUCAUUUAAAGAGUGCGUAAUAGCUCACUAGUCUAGUUUUUUGGCGCCGCAAGUAUAACGGGGCUAAGCUUAAUACCGAAUUUUUGGAUUUAUGUUUUUUAAAUAUAAGUGGUAGACAAAUGUUGUGUGAAGCGUAAAGUUUGAGCGAGAGUACAAAUGAACUUCACAUAAGUAAGAAUUCCGGCGUGAGUAACGAAUGAAAGUGAGAAUCUUUCUAGCCGAUUGAUUAAGGUUUCCGGGGCUAGGUUCGUCCUCUUCGGGUUAGUCGAUCCUAAGGUGAGGUCGAAAGACGUAGUUGAUGGAUAACAGGUUAAUAUUCCUGUACUGCCUUAGAUAUUUGAUGGACUUACAAAAGGGGUUGAAGCGAGAGGAUUAAUGGAUUUCCUUUCAAGUUUUCAAGCAAGCCUGGGCUGAAAAACACCCAGGCGUAAUUGUGAGAUUCGAGUACGAUUUUCGGCAGAAAUGUCGAGAAAAGUCGCUAUCAAUCUAAUUUUCCAGAAAAAGUUCUAAAUUAUAUAUCUAAGGUAUUCGUACCGAAAACGAACACACGUAAUCAAGGAGAAUAUCCUAAGGCUAGCGAGCUAACUACAGUUAAGGAACUCUGCAAAUUAACUCUGUAACUUCGGGAGAAAGGGUGCCCAUAAUAGCAUUAUGGGUCUCAGUAAAGAAUGAGGGCGGACUGUUUAACAAAAACACAGCUAUAUGCAAAAUUCAAACAUGAAGUAUAUGUGGCGACACCUGCCCGGUGCCAGAAGGUCAAAGAAGGAAGUCAAGCCGAAAGG